ACAAGCGGUGGAGCAUGUGGUUUAAUUCGAUGAUACGCGAGGAACCUUACCUGGGCUCAAAUGUAUGUUGACGUAUUCUGGAAGGGAUACUUCUUCGGACAAUAUACAAGGUGCUGCAUGGUUGUCGUCAGCUCGUGUCGUGAGAUAUUGGGUUAAGUCCCGUAACGAGCGCAACCCUUGUCCUUAGUUACCAGCACGUUAUGGUGGGCACUCUAAGGAGACUGCCGGUGCAAACCGGAGGAAGGUGGGGGUGACGUCAAGUCAUCAUGGCCCUUACGGCCUGGGCUACACACGUGCUACAAUGGUCGGUACAAAGGGUUGCCAAGCCGCGAGGUGGAGCUAAUCCCAUAAAACCGAUCGUAGUCCGGAUCGCAGUCUGCAACUCGACUGCGUGAAGUCGGAAUCGCUAGUAAUCGUGAAUCAGAAUGUCACGGUGAAUACGUUCCCGGGCCUU
rnacentral:rRNA from 1 species